rnacentral:sRNA from 1 species
GGGAGUGUUGACAUUCAGGGAUGUGGCUGUAGAAUUCUCCCCAGAAGAGUGGGAAUGCCUGGACUCUGCUCAGCAGGAUUUGUAUAGGGAUGUGAUGUUAGAGAACUACGGAAAUCUGGUCUCCUUGGGUCUUGCUAUCUUUAUGCCAGACUUGAUGACCUGUCUGGAGCAAAGAAAAGAGCCCUGGAAAGUGAAGAGACAGAAGACAGUAGCCAAACACCCAG